UAGAGUUUGAUCAUGGCUCAGGAUGAACGCUGGCGGCGUGCUUAACACAUGCAAGUCGAACGGACUCAUAUUGAAACCUAGUGAUUUAUGAGUUAGUGGCGGACGGGUGAGUAACGCGUGGAUAACCUGCCGUAUACCGGGGGAUAACACUUAGAAAUAGGUGCUAAUACCGCAUAAGCGCACGGCUCCGCAUGGGGCAGUGUGAAAAACUCCGGUGGUAUACGAUGGAUCCGCGUCUGAUUAGCUAGUUGGCGGGGUAACGGCCCACCAAGGCAGCGAUCAGUAGCCGGCCUGAGAGGGUGGACGGCCACAUUGGGACUGAGACACGGCCCAAACUCCUACGGGAGGCAGCAGUGGGGAAUAUUGCACAAUGGGGGAAACCCUGAUGCAGCGACGCCGCGUGAGUGAAGAAGUAUCUCGGUACGUAAAGCUCUAUCAGCAGGGAAGAAAAUGACGGUACCUGACUAAGAAGCCCCGGCUAACUACGUGCCAGCAGCCGCGGUAAUACGUAGGGGGCAAGCGUUAUCCGGAUUUACUGGGUGUAAAGGGAGCGUAGACGGCAGCACAAGUCUGGAGUGAAAUCCCGGGGCUUAACCCCGGAACUGCUUUGGAAACUGUGCGGCUGGAGUGCAGGAGGGGUAAGCGGAAUUCCUAGUGUAGCGGUGAAAUGCGUAGAUAUUAGGAGGAACACCGGUGGCGAAGGCGGCUUACUGGACUGUAACUGACGUUGAGGCUCGAAAGCGUGGGGAGCAAACAGGAUUAGAUACCCUGGUAGUCCACGCCGUAAACGAUGAUUACUAGGUGUCGGGGGACCAAGGUCCUCCGGUGCCGGCGCAAACGCAUUAAGUAAUCCACCUGGGGAGUACGUUC
rnacentral:rRNA from 1 species